CCUCCAGAAAGAAGACUGGAGAGCAUCUGAGGACACAAGGCAAGGCUGUCAGAGAACGGAGGCACCGAAGGAAAUGCUGCAGGAGUGGCCGGAAAGAAACUGAGUAAACAGGGUGAGGCAUCUCCCCUGCAGCUGAAGCAGACAGGAGAGUUAGGAGAUGACAGUCAGAAGCCCUGGCUCAGCCAGGGAGAUAGUUGAGAAAAAAAGAAAGGAAGAAAGAAGAAAAAGAAAAAGGAAGGCAAGAAAGAAAAAAGAAUGAAAGAAGGAAGGGAAGAAAGAAACAAAGAAAAAAGGAAGGAAAGAAAAGGAAGGAAGGUCUGUCUGAAAUCUGAAUAGUUCACUGGCAAUUUAAGAGGCCAGAAAGGAAAUAAACUUGCCUCUAGGGCUCA
rnacentral:lncRNA from 1 species